rnacentral:rRNA from 1 species
AAUACAUAGCGUGAGGAAGGCAGACCCAGGGAACUGAAACAUCUAAGUACCUGGAGGAAGAGAAAGAAAAAUCGAUUUCCUGAGUAGCGGCGAGCGAAACGGAAAGAGCCCAAACCAAGAAGCUUGCUUCUUGGGGUUGUAGGACACUCUAUACGGAGUUACAAAAGAAAGUUAUAAAUGAAGCGGUCUGGAAAGGCCCGCCAAAGACGGUAACAGCCCGGUAGUUGAAAUGGCUUUCCCUCCAGAGUGGAUCCUGAGUACGGCGGAACACGUGAAAUUCCGUCGGAAUCCGGGAGGACCAUCUCCCAAGGCUAAAUACUCCCUAGUGACCGAUAGUGAACCAGUACCGUGAGGGAAAGGUGAAAAGCACCCCGGAAGGGGAGUGAAACAGUUCCUGAAACCGUGUGCCUACAAGUAGUUAGAGCCCGUUAAUGGGUGAUAGCGUGCCUUUUGUAGAAUGAACCGGCGAGUUACGAUUUGUUGCAAGGUUAAGCGGAAAAAGCGGAGCCGUAGCGAAAGCGAGUCUGAAUAGGGCGCAUAAGUAACAGGUCGUAGACCCGAAACCAGGUGAUCUACCCAUGUCCAGGAUGAAGGUAAGGUAAUACUUACUGGAGGUCCGAACCCACGCACGUUGAAAAGUGCGGGGAUGAGGUGUGGGUAGCGGAGAAAUUCCAAUCGAACUUGGAGAUAGCUGGUUCUCUCCGAAAUAGCUUUAGGGCUAGCCUCGAGGUAAAGAGUCAUGGAGGUAGAGCACUGUUUGGACUAGGGGCCCUUCUCGGGUUACCGAAUUCAGAUAAACUCCGAAUGCCAUGUACUUAUACUCGGGAGUCAGACUGCGAGUGAUAAGAUCCGUAGUCGAAAGGGAAACAGCCCAGACCACCAGUUAAGGUCCCCAAAUAUAUGUUAAGUGGAAAAGGAUGUGGGGUUGCUUAGACAACCAGGAUGUUGGCUUAGAAGCAGCCACCAUUGAAAGAGUGCGUAAUAGCUCACUGGUCGAGUGACCCCGCGCCGAAAAUGUACCGGGGCUAAACAUAUUACCGAAACUGUGGAUGAACCUCUUUAGAGGUUCGUGGUAGGAGAGCGUUCUAAGGGCGGUGAAGUCAGACCGGAAGGACUGGUGGAGCGCUUAGAAGUGAGAAUGCCGGUAUGAGUAGCGAAAGAAGGGUGAGAAUCCCUUCCACCGAAUAUCUAAGGUUUCCUGAGGAAGGCUCGUCCGCUCAGGGUUAGUCGGGACCUAAGCCGAGGCCGAUAGGCGUAGGCGAUGGACAACAGGUAGAGAUUCCUGUACCAGUGCUAAUUGUUUAACCGAUGGGGUGACACAGAAGGAUAGGGAAUCGCACGAAUGGAAAUGUGCGUCCAAGCAGUGAGUGUGAG